rnacentral:rRNA from 1 species
GACGAACGCUGGCGGCGUGCUUAACACAUGCAAGUCGAACGGAAAGGCCCCUUUGGGGGUCCUCGAGUGGCGAACGGGUGAGUAACACGUGAGUAACCUGCCCUUGACUUCGGGAUAACUUCAGGAAACUGGGGCUAAUACCGGAUCGGAAUCCUUGCUGCAUGGUGGGGGUUGGAAAGCUUCGGCGGUUUUGGAUGGACUCGCGGCUUAUCAGCUUGUUGGUGGGGUAGUGGCUUACCAAGGCUUUGACGGGUAGCCGGCCUGAGAGGGCGACCGGCCACAUUGGGACUGAGAGACGGCCCAGACUCCUACGGGCGGCAGCAGUGGGGAGUAUUGCACAAUGGGCGGAAGCCUGAUGCAGCAACGCCGCGUGCGGGAUGACGGCCUUAGGGUUGUAAACCGCGUUCAGCAGGGGCGAAGCUUGUGGUGACGGUACCUGCAGAAGAAGCACCGGCUAACUACGUG